rnacentral:rRNA from 1 species
GACAGAGGGUGCAAACGUUGUUCGGAAUUACUGGGCGUAAAGCGUGUGUAGGCUGCCACAAAAGUCGGGUGUGAAAGCCCCAGGCUCAACCUGGGAAGUGCACUCGAUACUGUGUGGCUUGAGUAUCGGAGAGGUUGGUGGAAUUCUCGGUGUAGAGGUGAAAUUCGUAGAUAUCGAGAGGAACACCGGUGGCGAAGGCGGCCAACUGGACGAAUACUGACGCUGAGACACGAAAGCGUGGGGAGCAAACAGG